rnacentral:rRNA from 1 species
GACGAACGCUGGCGGCGUGCCCAAUACAUGCAAGUAGAACGCUGAAGGAGGAGCUUGCUUCUCUGGAUGAGUUGCGAACGGGUGAGUAACGCGUAGGUAACCUGCCUGGUAGCGGGGGAUAACUAUUGGAAACGAUAGCUAAUACCGCAUAAGAGUAGAUGUUGCAUGACAUUUGCUUAAAAGGUGCAAUUGCAUCACUACCAGAUGGACCUGCGUUGUAUUAGCUAGUUGGUGGGGUAACGGCUCACCAAGGCGACGAUACAUAGCCGACCUGAGAGGGUGAUCGGCCACACUGGGACUGAGACACGGCCCAGACUCCUACGGGAGGCAGCAGUAGGGAAUCUUCGGCAAUGGACGGAAGUCUGACCGAGCAACGCCGCGUGAGUGAAGAAGGUUUUCGGAUCGUAAAGCUCUGUUGUAAGAGAAGAACGAGUGUGAGAGUGGAAAGUUCACACUGUGACG